rnacentral:rRNA from 1 species
UAGGGAAUCUUCGGCAAUGGACGAAAGUCUGACCGAGCAACGCCGCGUGAGUGAAGAAGGUUUUCGGAUCGUAAAACUCUGUUGGUAGAGAAGAACGUUGGUGAGAGUGGAAAGCUCAUCAAGUGACGGUAACUACCCAGAAAGGGACGGCUAACUACGUGCCAGCAGCCGCGGUAAUACGUAGGUCCCGAGCGUUGUCCGGAUUUAUUGGGCGUAAAGCGAGCGCAGGUGGUUUAUUAAGUCUGGUGUAAAAGGCAGUGG